ACUCCUACGGGAGGCAGCAGUGGGGAAUUUUGGACAAUGGGGGCAACCCUGAUCCAGCAAUGCCGCGUGUGUGAAGAAGGCCUUCGGUUGUAAGCACUUUGUCCGGAAAGAAACGUUCUGGUUAAUACCUGGGGCGGAUGACGGUACCGGAAGAAUAAGCACCGGCUAACUACGUGCCAGCAGCCGCGGUAAUACGUAGGUGCGAGCGUUAAUCGGAAUUACUGGGCGUAAAGCGUGCGCAGGCGGUUUUGUAAGACAGGCGUGAAAUCCCCGGGCUUAACCUGGGAAUUGCGCUUGUGACUGCAAGGCUAGAGUGCGUCAGAGGGGGGUAGAAUUCCACGUGUAGCAGUGAAAUGCGUAGAGAUGUGGAGGAAUACCGAUGGCGAAGGCAGCCCCCCUGGGACGUGACUGACGCUCAUGCACGAAAGCGUGGGAGCAAACAGGAUUAGAUACCCUGGUAGGAUAGCG
rnacentral:rRNA from 1 species